rnacentral:rRNA from 1 species
GACGAACGCUGGCGGCGUGCCUAAUACAUGCAAGUAGAACGCACUUGCGAACGGGUGAGUAACGCGUAGGUAAUUGCCUCAUAGCGGGGGAUCACUAUUGGAAACGAAAGCUAAUACCGAUCACUGUGAGAUGGACCUGCGUUGGAUUAGCUAGUUGGUGAGGUAAAGGCUCACCAAGUAGACGAUACAUAGCCGACCUGAGAGGACGAUCCGCCACACGGGGACUGAGACACGGACCAGACUCCUACGGGAGGCAGCAGUGGGGAAUUUUGGACAAUGGGGGAAAGCCUGAUCCAGCCAUGCCGCGUGUAUGAAGAAGGCCUUCGGGUUGUAAAGUACUUUUGGUAGGGAGGCGGUACCUAAAGAAUAAGCACCGGCUAACUACGUGCCAGCAGCCGCGGUAAUAC